rnacentral:lncRNA from 1 species
CCUGUGUCUAAGCAGGGUUUCUCGCCCUCAGCACGGCUGACAUUUGGGCCGAGUGAUUCAUUGUGUUUGGCUGUGUAUGAUGAUUAGCAACAUCCCUGACCUCUACCCAGUCCAUGCCAGUAGCACCUCCUCCCGAUUGUGACAACAAAAUGUGUAUCCAGAUAUUGCCCUGUGUUCCCUGGGGGGACAACAAAAUUGUCCUCAGUUGAGAACACCUAGAACACAGAGAAAUUUUGAAGAAUACCUUCAGAAGUGGAUAAGUUUUUAUCUCUGGGCAGUGAGAGAUUGGGCAGCUUUUUGUUUUCAUUAGCUUGCUCUGCCUUUUUUUGAGUACAGAAUUCACAAAGUGCACACGUUAAGGUGCCCCUGGAUCACGAGGAGAGACGUAUUCCAACCUCUUUUGUGCAUGGCUGCAGAUGACACCUCAUAAGAGCUCAAUAAAUGUGCGUUUCCUCUCCCUCCUUCAGCUCUUCUAGGCGAGAACAAGGUGGUUAAUACCAAGUCCGCUUCCCCUGGGUGAACAGAAUGGGGUGGUCUUUGUGCAAAGAUGUUGUCAACUCCCUCACUUUCUUUCAACACGUGUGAUAUGUUGACAGAAAUCCACCAAAGAAGCAGCCGUUAGGCAGAAAUCCACCUGAGCUGCUGUGCAUGUGGCAAAACAUCUCAAAGACCCCAAAAGCGAGGCAUCAUCAUGUUUACAUCACAGCUCUGAAACGAAAAAGAAACGGACUAUUGAGUCUGAUUUCUCCAUUAUCCUGUUGCGUUCGGAUUUUUAAAAGGGAUCAAAAUUCCAUUUUUCCUAAAGAAAGGGAGCCACAGAUUCACAGAUUUCAUUAUCAACUUGAAACAAAUUGAGCAAAAAAUUAGGGGGAAUGUUUUUUCAUAUCCAGCAAGGCCUUCUUUUAAAACCAGCAAACAUCUGCGCACUUAAGUACCUUCUGUUGAGGUCUAAGGAAGUCACUUUCUGGAAUACAUGUGAGUUCAUUGACUCUGCCUCACUUUCAAGAACUGAAUAAGAAAUGAAAUCAUCCUGUAGGUUUUAGAAAAGUAUGAAAAAUGCUACAUCUGCCGAGAAAGUUUGGAUGGGCUAUUCAGAUCUUACCAGAAACAGAUGCAGAACACUGUGUUGGGUUGGAACUGGGCCAGUAUUUGGGGCAACAUUUGGAUUUUCUCUUCAAAUAAAAUAAAUAAAUAAUUUAAAUAUCA